UACGUAGGUGGCAAGCGUUGUCCGGAUUUACUGGGCGUAAAGGAUGCGUAGGCGGACAUUUAAGUCAGAUGUGGAAAUACCCGAGCUUAACUUGGGUGCUGCAUUUGAAACUGGGUGUCUAGAGUGCAGGGAGAGGUAAGUGGAAUUCCUAGUGUAGCGGUGAAAUGCGUAGAGAUUAGGAAGAACACCAGUGGCGAAGGCGACUACUGGACUGUAACUGACGCUGAGGCAUGAAAGCGUGGGGAGCAAACAGG
rnacentral:rRNA from 1 species